rnacentral:rRNA from 1 species
UACAGAGGUCUCAAGCGUUGUUCGGAUUCAUUGGGCGUAAAGGGUGCGUAGGUGGCGCCGUAAGUCAGGUGUGAAAUUUCGGAGCUUAACUCCGAAACUGCAUUUGAUACUGCGGUGCUUGAGGACUGGAGAGGAGACUGGAAUUCACGGUGUAGCAGUGAAAUGCGUAGAGAUCCGGAGGAACACCAGUGGCGAAGGCGGCUGGCUGGACCUGACCUGACGCUGAGGCGCGAAGGCGUGGGGAGCGAACGGG